CUUGAAUCAGCAAAGAUCACACUUUAGGACGAAUGCAUUCCCACCGUCCUUUAAAUAGUAGGCAUACGUGUCGGCAGAACGAAUCUUCCUCCGCAUCCUUCUUCUGGGAGGACAGUUUCUUAAGUUCAUCCUCAGGAUUGAACAUCCUAUUGAGGAACCUGGUCCUUGGGAAAGACUGAUUCUCCUCUCAUCUGCCAUUCAAUGACCACUUGUAAUUCUACCUGGAAGUGUGGGACUAUGUGGAAUUUCUGCUGUUGACAUGUCAACUGGAAUUGCUAUUUCACAGACCUUGCCCAGGCAAUCACAUCAUGAGAUUUCAUGGGCAAAUUUCUCCUGCUAUGCUCACGGGCAAAAUAAGAGACACAAGACGGAUGGGCGAAGAAGGAAAUCAGACAUGGUAUCAAUCGCCAACGCGGGGAACAAGGACAACAUCUUGUGCCUCAAGAAACUUGGCUGAAGAACCUUUUUUUACUCAAACGGAGACAGGUCCAGAACUCUGAGCAACCAUGAAAUAAACAACCAAAGCCACCUAAGGUGCCGCUUCCUUGUUUAACAUGGCGGUGUCUUGAAAAGGUAAAUCUGUCAUUUUACUGGGAAAAUGACCUGACAAAAUUAAGUACAACAAAGGAAGAAAAUCCGACAAGCGCGUGUCCCGUCCGUUACAUGUGGGUAGCUGUCACCAUGCGCUUUCAGGGUGCUGUUAAGGAAAAAUCUGCUGGAAGAAUAAUUCUCAUCUACCUUGAAGGGCAAAAAGGAUGCAAAACGCAGAGUGCGCUCUGCACACCGGAAGUGUUAAGACACUAGGCACAGGGUCUCUCAGUGAGGACAGGUCCUCUUUGGUUUUCUCUGUUCAUGUGUCUCCAACCAUAGAUACAGUAAAAUCAAUGGGACAUGCUCCUUAAUGGCUUUUUACAGAACAGACGACUUUGAUUUUCAGACCUCGAAAAGCAUUCUAGGGUGAAGGGGGUUAGGACUAGACCUACUGAUCCCGUGAUCUACCGGCUGUGAUUUUGGAAGCAGCCCCAGUGAGAAAGAAGGGGGAAGCACAUUUUAGAGGGUGUGAUCUUCGACUAAACGAAGAAAGCACAAUUAGGACGAUUUUGAGAAUGCUUUCCAAUGGAAAAUGUUUCCCUAUAGAUGAUAAAUCACAUUGCCUUUGUUUUGCAUAUUACUUUAGGGAAAUGGGGAGAAAAUCAAUUUGGAGGUGUUAGGAAAAAUGGCUCAUUAUUCAGGUUCUCUGGCUAAUGCCUUAUAGGAUGAGUUUAGGUAUUAAAACAGGCCAGUAUACUUUACGACUAAAGUAUAUAUGCUUAUGUAUGCUAUGCAAUAAAAAAUGAACAAACAAAAGUGGAGAGGGAGUAAGACGUAGGAGAAAAAGGUCUGAACAAAUGCAAGGAUAUAGAGGUACGAUUUUCAUAAUAAAACUAUUAUUUUGAAUUAUACAUAAUGAUGAUGAUGAUGAUGAUGAUGAUGAUGAUGAUGAUGAUGAUGAUGCCAGGUAAUGGUGGCACAUGCCUUUAAUCUUAGCACUUGGGGGAAGAGGCAGGCGGAUCUCUGAAUUCAAGGCCAGACUGAUCUACAAUGCAAGUUCCAGGAUGGCUACAGAGAAAAACCAUGUCUCCUAAAACAAAAUAAAACUGGUGACAGUGACAAUGACAAUGACAAUGGUGUUGAUGUUGGUGGUGGUAAUGACAAUAAAAAUAACAGAUCCAGACUGAAUUCUAGUACCCGAACAAGUUCCCAACCUGUUAUGUUUUCUGCAGUUACUCGGUGACCUGUGCCCCAGAUAUCUCAGGCAUCACAAGAUGAUGAUGAUUUUUGCAAGCUCACUUUACACCACUCUGUAAGCAUAGGAUAACAUGACCGAUGGAAAGAUGUUUGAGGAGAAAACAUUUCACAAUGAAAAAGUGUUGAUCUCACUUAGAAGAUGAGAGCCUUCCCUCUUUAACCCUAUAGUUCAGUAGAGGAUGAAAGCCAGGGCUAGCCCUCUGGAAAUGACGAGGUUUUGGUUUACAUUUCUGUCAUUAUCGGAGGUGAUAAAGGUUGAUCUGUGGACAUGAAGAUCCGUAGAUCAUGUAGACACGUACGGACUUAGGCUCCGGUUAGAGCUGGAAGAGCCUCAUUAACCACGCUCCAUUGUGUUACAGGUUCUGUAAACACGCAGGGCAGCAGCAUCAAGUACAACUCUACACUUAGUUUAACAUCUUUCCAACCAAGCCCCAGGAAGCCUCUGAGAUUUCCUUAAAUGACUGGAUUUCAUUUCAGUCAUUAGUUAACCCUGCCUAGUGGGUGACUCCAAAUCCCACCAGGCAGAAGUAAGGAGAUAUGCAUUCAAACAGUUCAAACAAGGUCUACCCUGUCAUAUAACCAUUGAGAACUGUAGGGGGCCUUUCCUUUCCCGGGGUCAGUCAAGUUGUUUAUGUGAAUAACAUACUAUCCCACAUUUAUUUGCUUUUAGACAGUUAAUGCUAUAAAGUUAUAGUAAGGAAAAGGUGCCGGCUGUCCUUCCUGUGCAUUUUCUGGGUGAGAUCAAAUGGAAAGCCUUGUUUUUAAUCCAGUUGCUAAAUGGUCAAGCUUCAUGUGGAGAAUAAGCAGGUUAUUCAACCCAGGAGGUCAGGUCACUCUUGGUGGUCAGGCUGCCUUUGAAAUUCACUAGGAUUCCUCUGCCAACACUCUCAAAUCCUUUCUUUUGCAAAUGUUUCAUUUUUACAAAUUUACAAAUACUGAUCUUUCCCUUGUCAGAAAUGUCAGGAAAAUACAUAGAGUGGCUGUAAUAAAGAGGACUUUUUUAUGAGCUGUAACAGGAAGUAUGUCAACAAAUUAAUGCCAGAGAGAGCACUGCAAUUAUUUUUUGAACAGAAUUUGGGUAGAACAUAUAAAUAUGUAUUAUAAUACCAUUCCCAAUCUCUAAGUUCUUUGGGGAGUUCCGAACAUUAGGUACUACUGAAUGAUAUCAAACACAGAUGUUCUGGGAGCAUUGAGCGUCUAUCCCAGAUGCAGUUACAGCUACCACGGUUUAGUCUUGUUUAAUAAGGCAAAUGUAUCGGUCAUGUAAUUUUACACUAAUUAAGGCGUUUCAUAUAUUACUAAAACAGAUAUAGGUAAGGCAUCAUAAAAGUCAUGCCAAUCGAAAAAUAUUUAUCUCACUUAAAAACAGUGAAUAAUUCAUAAUCAUUACCAGAAGUAUGGCAUAAAUAUGGAAAUGCCAAUGUAUGUGCAGUUAUGAACUAAGUGUGUUCAUAAUUAGCAUAAGACCUGUGGAAUUAUUUAUUCUUCCACUUAUUAUUCCAUUUAUUCUAAUUUUAUUCUUUUGUAUGAAACAAAAUGCAUGCCUAGCCUUACAGCAUUAUGUCUUACAAUGGUAUUACUUGUUGAAACUUAACAAAUAUCUCAGGAACUUACAUAUCCUCUUAACUACUCUUGGGAAUUUACCUGAUUUCCUUCAGUUGUUUUAUUUUUCAAUUGAAUUCUUUCAGAACGAACAUCAUAUAGAUAUGAGACUUUUUAUUCUUAAAAAAUAAAGUGCGCACGCGGGGGGCGGGUGGCUGGUGUAAGUAUAAGGACCAAGUGAGUGCCGUGUCCCAAUAGAAGCCAGAUGUCAUUUUGAGUCACCAGGUGUGAAUACUGAGAGCCAAAACGAAAUCUUCAGUUAGUUUAGCAACUACUGAAUCAUCUCUGCACUUAUUGGCUUUUCUUAUCAUUCCUUUUCUUUUUCUUUUAAGCAUGUGAGCAGUAGGUACCAUUUAUUAUUUGCAUCAAUGCAUAAUUCUCAACUCUUCCUGUAUGCCAGGAACUGUAUGGGGUACAUUGUAAUUUAGACAAUGAGUGAAGCAAUAGAGAAAUUCUAGAAAGUGCCAGAAAUUUAAUGUUUUAUGACAUCCCAGUGACUGGGCAUCUAACUCACUCUGUCAGAAUUAGGAGCCUUUUCUGACGUGGCAUGGGAUAAUACAGAAACUCAUUCAAAUGUGUUCAUGCCUAGAAUCUCUGUUGUGUAGGAAGCAGAAAAAAAAAGAAAGCACCCAAAGUGGCCAAACUCCACACAAACUGAGGUAAAAUGUGAGCAUUUUACUGACAGAAGGAGGAAGUCUCUGGCUGUUUAAAGUAGGAUAGCAAUAAAUUCCAAUCUGUGCCAUACCAUGGAGGGCAGACGAGGAAGAGGGAUAACAUUUGAAAUGUAAACAAAUAAAAUUAUUUAAGAAAAAAAAACUUCAAAAAAUCCUGCUAUACAGUGUGAAAGUAAACGAGCAUGGGUGUAGUCCCAUAAAACUUUAUCUAAAAAAAAAAAGCAGCUAUCAGAUUUUUUGACUCAUAGAUCAAACUUUGCAAGAAUUACCAAACAACUUAGGAGAUAAAAUUGCAAGGGAAGGGAUGGGUAGAAGUAAGGAAGAGGAAGAUAGCCAGAUUCUGACCUAGUCCACAUGUAAUGAUAAUUACCAAUGAGUAAUGCUAAACCUCCCAUGAUAAUACACAGAAUGGUCUGAAAAAGACAAUGAGAUAAUAUGUGAUUAUACAAGGAGUGAUGUCUCGAAAUGAUACUGACAAGACCCCGAGUUAGACUAGGCAUAGUGGAAUCAAAGACUGAGACACCCAUUCUAGCAGCUUCACAAGCCACUAAGCAAAUAGCCACUUUUAAUGCUGUCCCGAAGAAGAUGGCAUUUGCUUGAGCACCACUCACUCCUAUAAAUAAAUAGAGGUGUUAGGUACAAGGAAACUAUUACGAUACAUGUAGUGUUUUGAAAUGCUUACCCAAGAGUUACACAUCAGCUGAAGAGAAUGGGGGAAAAUAUGGAAACAUUUAGAGAAAGGAUGUGACUCACCGGAAGGGAGCCAAUCUGAAAACCCAGAGAAACGAAGGGAGGAGACCAUGCAGAAAUCCAGCUCGAUAGGAAAUAACGGCUUGGAGAGCAGAUGGUGUACUAUCUCAUUUGACGAGAUAAGAUGAGAGAGGGAUCAGCAUUUUAUUCUCAAAAUGUUACGUGCUUUCUGUUACAUUACUUUUCUUUGAAGAAUGGCUCUGCCUGUAAUUUGUCUUUAUUCAAGAUUUGGAUUUCAUCUUUUUUUUUAAAUAACAUCACUGCUAUAACCUCAAAGACAGAUAUUUCUCAAACCAUUCUCUCCCUCUUCCCCAACUUUUUCUCUCAUCCCACUGAUUGCUCCCAUCCUUCAUGCUUUAUAGAUAAAAGUGGAUAUAGGGCAGGGGUAUUGCAAUUAAUGUGAAAAGGUGUGGUGACUUCUAAGUAGUGUUUCUACAAGAAAUUGGCAGAUAUUUUUCGACACUGUGAGUAAAAAAUGCCUACCCAUCUCCUUCCUGGCAAGCUUGGCUCUUGAUCUUUGACAGAUCAUCAAGAGAGAGAGAGAGAGAGAGAGAGAGAGAGAGAGAGAGAGAGAGAGAGAGAGAGAGAGAGAGAGGGAGGGAGAGAGAGAGAGAGAUAUCACUUUGUAAUUCUCAGAGAACAUAACUUGGAACUUCAAGCUUUCAUUGUUCUUAGCAUCUAAUGUCCGAAUGCCCUGACUAUACCAAUGUUUACUGUAACUCCACCAAUCUCUGUUCUCUGAACACUUGGCAUCGUUAUCUUUAACGUCUAAAACUUUUGGCAUGAAAACCACCAGCAAACAAUGAAACGUUUCCUUUUCAUGUACACCGGGCUGUGUCAAUGUGCUUUAGAUCUCAAGUGCCACUCUGCAAACUGUUUGCAAAUGCUCUCCAUUUAAAGCAAUGGCACAGAUACAAAUGUCAAAAGCCAAUAACAGCAGAGCAGAUUCCGUCCCCAUCUCUCAGCUCUACCCUGAUGAGCCCUGAGUAUGUCCAGAUGUAUGUGGGCAAGGUUUCUUGUAGCUUGCCAAAAUGAAUGUGCAGACAAACAGAUGAAGGUUACGUACUAAGAGACUAUGUAUCUGUGUGUGUGUGUGUGUGUGUGUGUGUGUGUAUAAAAUUUGUGAUUUAUAUUUUCAGAGUAAAAUAAAAUAAAAUCCAAUAAGUAAAUUCAGUUUAUCUGUGUUUCAAACUGUAGUUCCUAGAUCAUUUUCUUGUUACCAUUGCUAUCUUAAUUUCUAUGAACUUCAAAAGUUCCUUCUAGUUAUCCUGUCUAUUAUACAGUAACAAGGACAUAGGCAUAACAACCUAUGCUUUCAAUGGCAUGGUUUACUUUACCAAAAUCAGGCAAAAAACCAGGGCAAGUACCAGCUUUCUACUGACUAUUUUACCAAAUGCAUUUGUAGAUGGGUCACCAUAUUAAAAACGUAAUCUAUAGGCUGGAGAGAUUGCCUAUUGAUUAAGAACACUUGCUAAGUAACCUGCAUUGAGAUUUCCAAACCCAUGUCACAGGGGUACAAGGUCUCGUGUGUGCCUAUAUCCUCAGCACCCAGCAGGAAAAAGGCAGGUAGGUUGUUGCCCGCCAACCUACCCAUAAAGCAUCAGCUCUCGGUUCAGAGAGAGAUCCUGCCUCCACAUAGUAAAAUGGGGAGUGGGAGAAGAGGGUAUCUGAGGCUUUCCUCUAGCUUCCACACACAGAUGCUCAUAUAUCAUAUACACAUGUAUCACACUCACACACACUUGUUUUGACAUGAGAGAGAAUAUCGUUAUUCAAAGAUAAAUGCAAACAAGACUAUGUGUAUUUCUAAUAUUCCAGACAUUCAUAUUUGACAUGGUUUUAUUGUCUUAAUAUGCCCUUAUAAUAAUUCUCCUAGAACAUUUCCAUAACUCUUAUUAGCUUGAUUAAAUCCAGUGAAAGGUGCUAUUUGCCCUUAGUUGUAAAACACUAUUGCUUUGUCUGAAACAAAUCCAGAGUAAACAAGAUUGUAACUUAAAAUUUUAUAGCUUCUGAUCAUCAAAUGCACUUCAGACAAUUCACAACACAAAAUUAAGCCUUGCUUUACAUAGAAAGUUUUAUCUUGUUCAAUAACUACUUAAGUCAUUUGGAGAAUAUUCAAAUAUACAUUACUCAGUCUAAAUUAUCCCAGGCUGGUAGUUGUGAGACAGCCCAAAAUCCACUCAUCCGUGCCAAUUUUAUAAAUGACAUUAAUCACUAGAGAGACACGCAUUUCUAGUGACUGUCUCUAAUGUUUAAAAACUCUUAGAAAAAUUGGUGGGUUGGUGAGUUCACAUAUAAGUAAUCCCAGCUCCUGAGAGGUAAAGAAAGGAAGAUAAAGAAUUCAAGAAUAGCUUCUUUUAUAUCAUAAGUUUUAGGCUGGACAACCGUGUAAAAAGCCUUUUAAGCAUAGACACACACACACACACACACACACAAAACAUAAAAAAUAACAAAGUGA